rnacentral:lncRNA from 1 species
GGUUCAACAUUUUUCUGUCAAGCUAGUUAGGUUUUAUCAGGCACCGUGUGCCUUGGCAUAGCAAAUUUCACAUCUCCAGAGAAAUGCCAAUGCUGACAGGACUCAUGAGAUUUCUGGUGAACAGUGUUUGAGACUGGACGGUGCUAUCAAACAGGAAUUGAAGAAUGUCUCAUGCUGGUUGCAUCUGUGUGUGAACUGGGAAGUUGAGAUCGCUUUCCACAGAAAUUAAGCAAAACCCUGGAGGUAAGUUGUGGAUAGGGAUGCUGUAGACUCCCUGACAGCAUAGGAACUAGAACUCUGAA